AUGACUGCCAGCACUGUGAGCAGCAGGGCUGUCUCCAGCCGUCGACAGGACCAAACAGUAUCUCGGAAGCAUCAGCGAACACGUGUGGACGGAAGGUGCAGCACCCCCGUGAACCGGCCUCGCCCCACCACGGCCUCUCCUUCCAGCAGUCCCUCGGCUCCCCCCAGCCCUGCUCCACGGUGCCCGCCCCCAGCCCAAGGUGCUCACGACUGCCCACAAGAACCCAAACUCAGCCAUCGGAAGGCUGGGCCGCGGGGCUCCGGAGCCUCCAGAGAUGACUCUGCCCCACAGGAUGCCGGCUUCAUCUUCCACAGCCCGCAGGCAGUUCCAGGCACCCCUUCUUGCUGGCAAAAUGGGAGUUCACAGGCCAGAGGAGCCAUCAGUCCUAACACAGCACAAAGAAGGAAACACGACCAUGAGAGAACGGAGAAGGGCCACCCUAGGCAGCCAGCCAAAGGGGCAAGAGGUAAAAAGAGUGGAAGUGGCGCGCCGUCGAGAUUCCCCAAAAGAAAAUAGAAAACCAUCUUGGACAACCAGCUAUAGCGCGUACCAACAAAUAAAAAGAAGACAUUCUGGAGUUCCCGCUGUGAC
rnacentral:lncRNA from 1 species